rnacentral:rRNA from 1 species
UACGUAGGGGGCAAGCGUUGUCCGGAUUUACUGGGCGUAAAGAGCGCGUAGGCGGAAUGGUAAGCGGGGCCGGAAAGCCCCCGGCUCAACCGGGGAAGGGGCCGCGAACUGCCAUUCUUGAGGGGGAGAGAGGAGAGCGGAAUUCCUGGUGUAGCGGUGAAAAUGCGUAGAGAUCAGGAGGAACACCGGUGGCGAAGGCGGCGACCUGGUUCGAUACUGACACUGAGGCGCGAAGACCAGGGAGCAAA